GAGGAGGAGAAACCAAAUCUGACAUCGAUAACAUGAUUGAAGUGAUAAUGGAAGACGUUUUUAAUGAACAAAACGUCAGCCUUAAAUACAGUAAGAGAAAACAACCAAAUGAGCAGAGUCAGGGGGGAGGGAAGGCCAUGAAGGUACUGGAGGACCUUUCUGAGGAAGAGGAGGAGGAGGAAGAGGAGGAGGAAGAGGCUGACUUUACUCCUUCUCAAAAAGAAAAAAUAACACAUUACAGUGUGUCAAAAAUCAAAAAGUUUUUAGCCGACACUAAAGGUCAAUGGGCCGUCAAAGUGGAAAAUUUUUUCCCAGACUUAAAUGGUUUUAUAAACUCAGUGAAUAGUUUUAAAAAAGAGAAUGCGUUCACUGAACAGGAAGUUUACAGACUCAGUAAGCUCAAGAAAAGGGUCAAAGAAACACUCAGAGUGACAAGUAACUGAAUUUUAUGAUGUCGUGUUUUUUAUCCCCUGUUUUUAUUUGUUCGGUUCUUCUCACAGUUUUUAUGAACAUUCGUAUUGGGACCCUAAACUAGUGCUGGACGAUAAUUCGAUAACAAUAUAUAUCGAUCGAUAGAGGUGUGGUGCAAUAGAAAAAAAAACGGGUCGAUAAAAAGUUUGAUAAAAAACACAGUUUCCCUUUCUUUUUCAUCAUAGCCUAUCAUGUAGCUUUUACUACAGUCAUUACUUCCUCCCAACCAAUCACAAACGCAGACCCAGGUACGCUACGGCACCAAGCCCAGUGUAGCAUCUCAACUGGAUUUAAAGACUCCAUGAACGAGGACAGAUGCACUGUGAUGAAGAGCUGAAAUAAAACACAAAGCACAAUUACACUCUCACAUUUUCAUCCGGGCGCACUUGUCAAUCACAUACACAAUGUUAGCAAACCGGACAACAAAUCAAUUUACACAUGAACAGCCCCCACAAACAUACCUUUGCACCAUCCAGUUAAGCGCUAUUAACGAUGUUUCAUCCUUUACAUGAAGUGGAUUCGCGUACCAUACGUGCAACAUCUCCUUCUUCUCAUAGCAUGUGUCCCUCGUUUUCCGCGAUCAAUCACUCAAAAGAACAAACACGGACAACGUCCUGGCCCUUUCAGAAUAAAAUAUAAGUGCCGGAUUUGCGCCUUCAAAACAAAAGCACCCAAAACCCAAACAUUGCAACACAUACGCUUAACCACAAACAGGCAUACACAAAAGAGUCAUGUAGGAUGGUUCCCCUUUGUAAAAUGAACAAAUAUGGGUCAUUUACACCCAGCCCCUAUCAAACCACAACAGACAGCACGUGUAUUAGAAAAAAUAUUACAGCAAAGAGAAGCGGAGGACAUUGUCCCGAAAAAAGGUCUCAGUAGUUCUCCAGCAUGGCAAUGUUUUGAUUUUUAGAAGUCUGACAAAAAGCGAACAGUGGUCGUUUGCAAAAUUUGCCGAGAAUUAGUAAAAACCAAGUCUGGUAACACAACCAACUUGUUUUACCAUCUAAACCGGUCGCAGCCGCAGGAGUACGAGCUGUGUCGGCCGCGCCGCGGCUCCACGUCGUCGGAGGAGGAAUCCUCUGGAACCGCUGCCAGCACCGGCACAAAGCAAGUGAAGCAGACCAAACUGGACUUCGUUUCUUGCCAAAAUACGACAAAGCGUCCGAGCGGCAUAAGGACAUCACCCAUGCAGUAACAUGCUCCAUAGCGAGGGACAUGCUGCCAAUAACUACCGUUGAAAAGCCUGGCUUCAAACAGCUUCUAGCCACUCUCGACCCGCGAUAUGAAGUGCCCGGCCUCAAGUAUUUCUUAAACACAGCGCUUCAGGCAUGAAAAUGGGUCAGGGGUUGAAAAGGUGAGAAGGGUGCGGAGGAAAUACGUUCCGGUGUUGUGCCGUAGAAUGCACCCCUGCAUCCCGUCCACUCAUUAGCUUCUUAAAGUGGAAGAAAAUGAGCUCAUAUUUUACAAAGACGCGAGUAUUUGGAUCAUGGCUACUGGCAGGGGGUGCAUUCGGCAGGGGUGCAAUCUAUGGCACAACACCGGCGUGGAUAAGUCCUGCUUCUCGUGCUCAGUUUGCGUAUUAAGUCAAUCACAUGAUAAUUAAAAAAAAAUAAAUCUCCCGACCCCGGGAGAAAUAUUUCAGUGUUCAGACACCAGGCUGUGGGCAGUUUCCCACACAGUUAAAAUUGGUAGUAUGCUAUUCCCACCUAAAGCUAUUCUGUUUAUUUAUAUAUUUGUUUGUUUUGUUUAUUUUCAUCAAAAGACUAUUUAAAUAUUUAUUUAUCAGAUUUUCUGGUCCCUUUAGUCUUUAUGUUUGUCAUUAUUUACUGACGUCACUCAGGCCACUUAAGUUGAUCUCUUUUUUUUUUUUAAGUUCUUUUUUAAAAAACUUUCAGUUGUGGUAAAAAAAAAAGGUGGUUGAAUAAAGGUUUGAAUUUGAAUUCAGUGCUUGUGUGUUCUUUAUUAAAAGUAGGUCAUUAAGCAAUAGCAUAAAACAUCCAGGGCUGCAAUUAAAAUAUAUGUUAAAUAAUUAUAAUAAUUAUAUCGAUAAUUAUCGAUAUCGAUCAAUAUGAUUUAUUUUUUAUCGAUAUGCUUUUUUUCUAUAUCGUCCAGGCCUACCCUAAACAUAAAUGGAGCUCGCUUGGACUAUAAGAGAGCCUCUCUGUUCCAGCUGUGCCAGCUGAAAAAGCUGGACGUACUCUUUGUGCAGGAGACCCACAGUGACCAGAGGAAUGAGGGGGACUGGAGAAGGGAGUGGCCAGGCCAGGUCUAUCUGAGUCACAAAGUGUCCAACAGUGCUGGGGUGGGGAUCCUGUUCUCCAGGUUCUUUAACCCUCAGACUGUGCAGGUGCACCAGGUGAUGGAUGGACACAUUUUAAUGGUUAAGGCUCAGUAUGAGGAUUUUAGAUUUGUUUUUGUGUGUGUUUAUGCUCCAGUGCUGGGCAGAGACAGAAUGCUGUUUUUAAAUACGCUGUGUGAUGUGGUGGGGGGUGUGGAGGAGGGUUUUUUAUUCCUGGGGGGUGAUUUUAACUGCACUGCUGAUGCAGUGUUGGACAGGAAUCACCUGGAGCCUCAUCCUGCCUCAUCCACUCAGCUGAAAAGACUGAUGGAGACUCAUGACCUGAAGGACGUGUGGAGAGGUUUGAAUGGCUCCACCAGGCAGUACACCUGGUCCCACUGCAAAGACAACAGCUUGUCUCUAGCCAGACUGGACAGAUUUUAUUGUUUUAAACACCAUUUCAGCAUUUUUAAGAAAUGUCUUAUUGUCCCUGUGGGUGUGUCUGACCACUUUUUAGUCCAGUGUGACUUUUUUAUCCAAAAUGUGAAGACAUCCAGCGCCUACUGGCAUUUUAACACGGCUCUUUAAGAAGACUGUGCUUUUAAAGAUGCUUUUAGGUUUUUAUGGGCUUCACACAGGGACAGGAGGGCAGAGUUUUUAUCAGUGCAGAGAUGGUGGGACUAUGGGAAGGUUUUAAUUCAGCAGUUCUGUCAGCAGUAUACUCGCAACGUCACCAAGCACAUCACCAGAUCCCUCCAGGUCUUGGAGACUGAGGUACAGAACCUGUUGGACUAAACAGGAGAAGGGAGGCAUGUUGAGGCCCUCCAAAAGAGGAAGGCUGCCAUAGCCAACCUGCUGGGCACUACAGCACAGGGGGCGCUGGUCCGCUCCCGAUACAUGAAUGCCUCCAUGAUGGACGCCCCAUCGAAGUUCUUCUUCAGCCUGGAGUCAAAAAAUGGACAGAGGAAGGUCAUCCACAGCCUGCGCGCCGCUGACGGAUCCGCCAUCACUGGGGCCUCAGAGAUCCGCAGGCAUGCCACAUGUUUUUAUAGAGACCUUUUUAAAAGUGAACUGGUGGAGGAUCCACAGCUGGAGGCAGACUUUCUGUCUGACCUCCCUAAGGUGGGACAGUCGGGGAACUCUCUCCUGACAGCGGACCUGACUUUGGAGGAACUGCAUGUGGCCCUCAUGAGCUUGGCCAACGGAAAGGCCCUAGGCAUCGACGGGAUCCCAGUGGAUUUCUAUAAGACUUUCUGGCCCGUGGUGGGCGAGGACUUAUUGGAAGUUUUUCAGGAGAGUUUAAGAACGGGACUGUUACCGCAGAGCUGCAGGAGGGCUGUCAUAACCCUGCUCCCUAAGAAGGGGGACCUCCAAGACCUGAAGAACUGGAGACUGGUCUCACUGCUCUGCGGGGACUAUAAGGUCCUCUCCAAAGCCCUGGCUCUACGGCUGCGAGAGGUGAUGGCGGAGGUGGUUCAUGUAGACCAGACCUACUGUGUGCCCGGCAGACUGAUCAGUGAUAACAUCACUCUGAUUCGGCAUAUUUUGGACGUCUCUAGCUCUUUAGGCGUUGACACUGGUCUGAUUUCCAUAGACCAGGAAAAGGCUUUUGAUCGGGUUGAACACCAAUACCUGUGGAAGACGCUUGCCGCCUUCGGGUUCAGCCCAGAUUUUAUAGCCAGGGUUCAGGUUAUGUACCGUGACGUUGCGAGCAUACUCAAGAUUAAUGGUGGUCUGGCUGCUCCCUUCUGCGUACAAAGAGGGGUUCGACAGGGUUGCUCCCUAUCCGGGAUGCUCUAUACUUUAGCGAUUGAGCCGCUACUAGAAAAAAUGAGGAGGACUCUGACAGGAGUGCUGUUCCCAGAAUGUCCUGCAGCGAUAAAACUAAGAGCAUACACUGACGACAUCAUGGUGGUUUUAAACACACAGAAGGACAUUCAAGUUUUAGAGGACAACGUCAAUCUUUUUAACAAACUGUCUUCAGCCAGGGUCAACUGGGCCAAGAGUGUGGCCUUCACCACUAACAAGGACUCCUUGGGGGGGCUGGUACUUCCUGGGGGGCUCCAGUGGACAGUGGGGGGGCUUAAAUAUCUUGGGGUGUUUUUAGGGGAUGAACAGUUUUUAAAGAGAAACUGGGAGGGGGUCCUGGAGGCUGUCGAGGGCCGACUGAAGAGGUGGAGGUGGUUGCAGCCGUCCAUGUCUUACAGGGGGAGGACCCUGAUCAUUAACAACCUGGUGUCGUCCUUCCUGUGGCACAGGUUGGCUGUUGUCGACCCUCCCCCAAACCUGCUCUCCAGGGUCCAGACUGUUUUAAUUGACUUUUUCUGGGACAAGCUUCACUGGCUCCCACAGGCGGUGCUGUUCCUCCCUGUGGAAGAGGGAGGUCAGGGGCUGGUGCACCUGGCCAGCAGGGGGGCAGCUUUCAGACUGCAUUUUAUCCAGCGGCUGCUGUACGGGCCCCAGGACCUGGUGUGGAGGCCCCUGGCUCGGCUGAUUCUGCGGAGCGUGGGCGGCCUCGGCCUACAGGAGACUGUGUUUUUAUUGGAUUUUAAGACUGUGAGUUUUUUAUCCCUGCCAGAGUUUUACAGAGGCGUGUUCAGCGUGUGGAAGCUGCUGUGGAGGCAGAGGGUCCAGCACCAAACCUGCUGCUGGCUGCUGAGGGAGCCGCUGGGCCGUGGAGGCCUGCUGAGCAACCCCCCCUGGGCAGGAGCAGCGGUGGCCGAGGACCUAAAGACGGCGGGGAUCACCACGCUGGGGACUCUGCUGGACAUCACCGGACCUGACCUGCAGGAGACGGAGGAGCUGGCGAGGCGCUUGGGCUGGAGAUCGAGGAGGAACGUGAGCCGACUGCUGAGCCACUGGAGAACCUGCCUGACGGGACGAGACCGACAACUGCUGGGAGAACAGCGCCAGGAACAGACUGCCCCCUGUCCCAACCAACCGUUCCCCCCCCUCAUCAUCCGUCCGGGACCAGACCUGCAGCAGGAGGUGAGCCUGGAGAAGGCCGAGGGAAAGGUUCUCUCAGCUCUGAUGGUGAAGACCUUAAACAGAGAGAGACUGCAGCAGCACAUCCGGUCCCCCUGGAGGGCUCGGCUGGUCCUGGGGGACAAGGUCCGGGCUGAGUGGAGGAGCCUGUACAAGCCUCCACUCUCCAAGAGGGUGGCUGACCUCCAGUGGAGACUAAUCUAUGGGAUUUUAGCUGUAAACUCUUUUAUUUCCAUCAUGAACACAGCAGUCCAGAACAGCUGUCCGUUCUGUGGAGCAGUGGAGACCAUCGUCCACUGCUUCACUGAGUGUCCUCGCCUCGCUCCUCUGUUCAAACUGAUGGAAUGUGUGUUCAGGAGAGCAGACGAGGUGUUUUCUUUUAAGACAUUCAUUCUUGGUUUUAAAUACAAAAGAGCUCAAAAAGAAAAAUGCCAAAUGUUGAACUUUGUGCUGGGACAAUCAAAAUUGGCGAUAUACGUGAGCAGGAAGCUGAAAGUGGAGGACGGUGUGGACUGUGACCCGGUGCUGCUCCUGAGCAGAACCAUCAAAGCGAGGAUUCUGAUUGACUUUAAGUACUACAGAGAAAUGCAGAACAUGCUGCGGUUUUAUCAAACAUGGACCCAUGGUGGAGUUCUGUGCUCAGUAAAAGAUGGUGGACUGGAGUUUUCAGAUCAGCUGGUCUGAUCUGUUUUUAUUUAUUGUUUUUAUUUAAAAUAUUUGUAUAUAUUUAUAUAUAUAUAUAUAUGAUGCUGCUUUAAUGUUGAAAAAAUGACUUGAAUAAAGUUGUUUUGAAAAAUCAAAAAAAAAAUCUCUCUCUCUCUCCCCCUCUCUCAACAUGCGGUUACUCGAACCUGUUUCCCUUCACAGUUGCGCUGCAUUCCACAGGGCCACUGCAUUCCAUCAUUGCCUGUUGAACACCGACAACUGGGACCGUAAGGGACAGACCAGAGUACAGUAAGUAUUCUAUAUCUAUCUAUCUAUCUAUCUAUCUAUCUAUCUAUGUAAAGACAUAAAUAUAUUUAGGGCCCGAGCGUAGCUGCUAAGCAGCUGCGAGAGCCCUCUUGUUCCUGAUGGAUUCUUCUUUUUAGGGCCCGAGCCAGCUGCAGAGCAGCCGGGCGUAGGCCCUAUUAUUCCCCAAGUGGUUUUUUAGGGCCCGAGCGUAGCUGCUAAGCAGCUGCGAGAGCCCUCUUGUUCCUGCAUGUUUCCUUCUUUAGGGCCCGAGCGUAGCUGCUAAGCAGCUGCGAGAGCCCUAUUAUUCCCCAAGUGGUUUUUCUUUGUUUCUUUCUUUCUUUCUUUCUUUAGGGCCUGAGCGUAGCUGCUAAGCAGCUGCGAGAGCCCUCUUGUUCCUGCAUGUUUCCUUCUUUUGUUAUUAGGGCCCGAGCGUAGCUGCUAAGCAGCUGCGAGAGCCCUAUUAUUCCCCAAGUGGUUUUUCUUUGUUUCUUUCUUUCUUCUUUUUCCUCCCCUUUGAACUGGAAAAUGGCCCACUUCCCACUGGCGAAAACUCAUGAAAUUUGGCAGGAUGACCGGGCCUGGUGAAAAAUUUGAUAUUCCGAAGUCGCCCAAACAAGAAAAUGCAAAAUGGCUCCAUAGCGCCCCCUAAGGUGAAAAUUCACACUAUUGACUGUCACGCCUUUACGCUUUGUCAAAAUGACACAAAAAUUGACACACAUAUGUAUCUCAAUAAGAUCUACAAAAAAGUCAGUGCGGACGUAUCUGUCAAAUGUACGGUUAAAGGGUUAUUCCGCAUUUUUUGCCGAUCCGCACACAUUGGAAUUUUGCUAACUACUCCGAAGGCUUUCUUUCCACCGGCACCACAUUUGCUCAGGCCAAUCUACACCCCAUGGCCAUUAAAAGUUAUUCAAAUCAUGACGCUGCACCCCACGGUUUAGGUUCUAGGGGGCACCAAAGAUAACCCUAAAAUCCACAUAUUUAAAAGUCUUAUAACUUUUUAUUUUUGCCCUCACUGGCCUCCAAGUUUUCUAGGAUGAUGCAAUGUCCAGCCAUCAACACAUUUGUGAAGGAAUUUUUACUCCCCAAAAGAGCGCCCCCCCAUGGCCGGAGAAAAAAGUCCAUUUUUUCUUGUCCCCUAAGGUGAAAAUACACAUUGUUGAGUGUCACGCCUGUACGCUUUGUCAUAUUGACACAAAAUUUGACACACACAUGUAUCUCAAUAAGAUCUACGAAAAAGUCAAUGCGCGCGUAUCUGUCAAAUGUACGGUUAAAGGGUUAUUCCACAUUUUUUGCUGAUCCGCACACAUUGGAAUUUCGCUAACUCCUCCUAAGGCUGGCGUUCCACCGGCACCACAUUUGCUCAGGCCAAUCUACACCCCAUGGCCAUUAAAAGUUAUUCAAAUCAUGACGCUGCAACCCACGGUUUACGUUCUAGGGGGCGCCAAAGAUAACCCUAAAAUCCACAUAUUUCAAAGUCUUAUAACUUUUUAUUUUUGUCCUCACUGGCCUCCAAGUUUUCUAGGAUGAUGCAAUGUCCAGCUAUCAACACAUUUGUGAAGGAAUUUUUACUCCCCAAAAGAGCGCCCCCCAUGGCAGGAGAAAAAAGUCCAUUUUUUCUUGUCCCCUAAGGUGAAAAUACACAUUGUAGAGUGUCACGCCUGUACGCUUUGUCAAAAUGACACAAAAUUUGACAUACACGUGUAUUUCAAUAAGAUCUUCGAAAAAGUCAAUGGCCACGUAUAUGUAAAAUGUACAGUUAAAGGGUUAUUUCACAUUUUUUGCAGAUCCGCACACAUUGGAAUUUGGCUAACUCCUCCUAAGGCUUUCGUCCCACUGACACCAAAUUUGCUCAGGCCAAUCUACACCCCAUGGCCAUUCAAAGUUGUAAAAAUCAUGACGCUGCACCCCACGGUUUACGUUCUAGGGGGCGCCAAAGAUGACCCAAAUAUCCACAUUCUUAAAAGAAUCCACACCCCCCCAUCACCCCCCCCCAUCCCCCAUCCCCCAUGGCAGGAGAAACAGUCAAGUUUUUCCUUCCCAUCACUCAAUGGCUCAAUCGCAUCACUCUCCCGGCAACACCGUAACAAGGAGCAACUUGCCGUUUGGAUAUAUCCUAGCUGUGUUUGUGCCCUCACUCAUGGUCCAGACUUUUUUCAAAUAGGACAUGUAGUUUGUCUGCAGCGAGUGUUUUGGUAGAAACUGCGCCUCCCAUUCAUUAUAAUGGGAAAUGACCACAGACAAGUGCGCACACCAUCUUUGGACCUUGAGUGUGACGCGAUCGGGAGGGGGAGGCGGUCGCGCUGGGGGCGGCGCAACGCGGCUCGGGCCCGACAGUGCCCCACCGGGGUCCUAGUUAUUAUUAGGGCCCGAGCGUAGCUGCUAAGCAGCUGCGAGAGCCCUAUUAUUCCCCAAGGGGUUUUUCUUUGUUUCUUUAGGGCCCGAGCGUAGCUGCUAAGCAGCUGCGAGAGCCCUCUUGUUCCUGCAUGUUUCCUUCUUUUGUUAUUAGGGCCCGAGCCAGCUGCAGAGCAGCCGGGCGUAGUUAGGGCCCGAGCCAGCUGCAGAGCAGCCGGGCGUAGGCCCUGUUAUUCCUGUAGGGGUUUUUCUUUGUUUCUUUCUUUCUUCUUUUUCCUCCCCUUUGAACUGGAAAAUGGCCCACUUCCCACUGGCGAAAACUCAUGAAAUUUGGCAGGAUGACCGGGCCUGGUGAAAAAUUUGAUAUUCCGAAGUCGCCCAAACAAGAAAAUGCAAAAUGGCUCCAUAGCGCCCCCUAAGGUGAAAAUUCACACUAUUGACUGUCACGCCUUUACGCUUUGUCAAAAUGACACAAAAAUUGACACACAUAUGUAUCUCAAUAAGAUCUACAAAAAAGUCAGUGCGGACGUAUCUGUCAAAUGUACGGUUAAAGGGUUAUUCCGCAUUUUUUGCCGAUCCGCACACAUUGGAAUUUUGCUAACUACUCCGAAGGCUUUCUUUCCACCGGCACCACAUUUGCUCAGGCCAAUCUACACCCCAUGGCCAUUAAAAGUUAUUCAAAUCAUGACGCUGCACCCCACGGUUUAGGUUCUAGGGGGCACCAAAGAUAACCCUAAAAUCCACAUAUUUAAAAGUCUUAUAACUUUUUAUUUUUGCCCUCACUGGCCUCCAAGUUUUCUAGGAUGAUGCAAUGUCCAGCCAUCAACACAUUUGUGAAGGAAUUUUUACUCCCCAAAAGAGCGCCCCCCAUGGCCGGAGAAAAAAGUCCAUUUUUUCUUGUCCCCUAAGGUGAAAAUACACAUUGUUGAGUGUCACGCCUGUACGCUUUGUCAUAUUGACACAAAAUUUGACACACACAUGUAUCUCAAUAAGAUCUACGAAAAAGUCAAUGCGCGCGUAUCUGUCAAAUGUACGGUUAAAGGGUUAUUCCACAUUUUUUGCUGAUCCGCACACAUUGGAAUUUCGCUAACUCCUCCUAAGGCUGGCGUUCCACCGGCACCACAUUUGCUCAGGCCAAUCUACACCCCAUGGCCAUUAAAAGUUAUUCAAAUCAUGACGCUGCAACCCACGGUUUACGUUCUAGGGGGCGCCAAAGAUAACCCUAAAAUCCACAUAUUUCAAAGUCUUAUAACUUUUUAUUUUUGUCCUCACUGGCCUCCAAGUUUUCUAGGAUGAUGCAAUGUCCAGCUAUCAACACAUUUGUGAAGGAAUUUUUACUCCCCAAAAGAGCGCCCCCCCAUGGCAGGAGAAAAAAGUCCAUUUUUUCUUGUCCCCUAAGGUGAAAAUACACAUUGUAGAGUGUCACGCCUGUACGCUUUGUCAAAAUGACACAAAAUUUGACAUACACGUGUAUUUCAAUAAGAUCUUCGAAAAAGUCAAUGGCCACGUAUAUGUAAAAUGUACAGUUAAAGGGUUAUUUCACAUUUUUUGCAGAUCCGCACACAUUGGAAUUUGGCUAACUCCUCCUAAGGCUUUCGUCCCACUGACACCAAAUUUGCUCAGGCCAAUCUACACCCCAUGGCCAUUCAAAGUUGUAAAAAUCAUGACGCUGCACCCCACGGUUUACGUUCUAGGGGGCGCCAAAGAUGACCCAAAUAUCCACAUUCUUAAAAGAAUCCACACCCCCCCCCCAUCCCCCAUCCCCCAUGGCAGGAGAAACAGUCAAGUUUUUCCUUCCCAUCACUCAAUGGCUCAAUCGCA
rnacentral:lncRNA from 1 species